rnacentral:rRNA from 1 species
UACAGAGGUCUCAAGCGUUGUUCGGAUUCAUUGGGCGUAAAGGGCGCGUAGGCGGCGGGGUCAGUCGGGUGUGAAAUCUUGGGGCUUAACCCCGAAACGGCACUCGAAACUGCCCGGCUGGAGGGCCGGAGAGGAGAUCGGAAUUCACGGUGUAGCAGUGAAAUGCGUAGAUAUCUGGAGGAACACCGGUGGCGAAGGCGGCAUCCUGGACCGGCAUUGACGCUGAGGCGCGAAAGCCAGGGGAGCAAACGGG